UACGAAGGGGGCUAGCGUUGCUCGGAAUUACUGGGCGUAAAGCGCACGUAGGCGGCUAUUCAAGUCAGAGGUGAAAGCCCGGGGCUCAACCCCGGAACUGCCUUUGAAACUAGGUAGCUAGAAUCUUGGAGAGGUCAGUGGAAUUCCGAGUGUAGAGGUGAAAUUCGUAGAUAUUCGGAAGAACACCAGUGGCGAAGACGACUGACUGGACAAGUAUUGACGCUGAGGUGCGAAAGCGUGGGGAGCAAACAGG
rnacentral:rRNA from 1 species